GAAAAUACUACUCUCUUCUAUGCUGUGGCAAAAUAGUACAACCACAAGGCCAGGAUCCAUAGAAUGUGAGCAGCUGUUUCAGUGGUUUUCUGUUACUAUUUGUGAAGUCUUCAUUCUUGUCAUCUCUAGCAGAAGAGUGGUGCCAGUUGCCAGAGGUUUGAGGAAAAAGAAGUCAUGGGAGAAUUUACAUUUGAGAAAAUUCCAUUCAUUGACUUAAUUAUUUCUGGGAAUUCAGAAAAGACCACCAUGAUCCUUUAGCCGUGAAAACACUUGGGCCAGUUUUGGAAAUGCUAGAAUCCUGCAGGAGAAGCUUUUGAGAAAUUCAGCACUGUGCAGUGUUGUAGCCUGAAUACUUUACUGUUUACCUUUUUGAGAGUUAAAUCUGUGUGGAGGAGGAAGGGAGGAGAGACUAGAAGCAGAGAGGCCCAUGGGAGGCUCUGGUUCAGGCAAAAGAGGAUGGAUCCUUUGGAGAGCUGCUCACUGCAGCCUCGACCUCCACCUGGGCUCAAGUGAUCUUCCUGCCUCAGCCUUCUGACAAGGGUUCCGGGAUGGCCAAGGAGGCCCAUCUCACCAGACCUGGCCCUGAGAAACUUCACCAGCAAGGCUUUCAAAUCUGGUGCAUAUUGCUAUGACAUGAGUUCCCUUCCAGCAGGGCCUGCAGCUGCUCUGUCCUCCUGGAUGGAGAAUCUGACUCCAACUCAGCUUCCCAAACCACACACAAUUCGAAGAUGAGACUGGUCUUCCUCUGGGGGACCAGGGAGAAAUGUGGUAAUUUAGACUCUCAAAGACUCUUCCUAAAAAGCUGGGCUGUUAAGGAAUCCACUCCAAGCGAUCACCAUCUGUGGCAGGCAGCUGGUGGAAUAGACAGAACUGUUUUGACAUCAGAUGAACUAGAAUUUGAAUACUGGUUUAGUCCUGUCUAGCUGUAGGGAUUUGAAGGGAAAUACAGUUUUUCUUUCAGAAAACCAGGACAAUAAUAUUAUACUAGAUUUGCGAGGUUAAAGAUAUAGAAAGUAUAGACAGCUAGGAGGUGUUGGGAGA